UUUUGUUCCCUCCUCAUUUUCCCCCCUGAAUUUUGCUAAACCCACCAAUAUAACUCCUUUUUCCUUUUAUUUAUUUUUUUGGGUAAAUACAAUAACUAAAUUAAAAUUUCUUCAUUUCUUCCAAUGCUUUCAUCUUGCUCAAGCUCAUUCUUUGGAAGCAGACCAAAUCAAAAUCACCACACAACCUAAAUUCCACCUUCCUCAAAUCACCAGACAACUUAAAUUCCACCUUCCUCAAAUCACCAGCAAACCUAAAUUCCCAAAUCCCCAAAUCUAUUUGUUAACCAAAAAUCCCUAAAAUUGCUAACCCAAAACUCCCAAAUCCCUAAAGUCCCGAACUCUAUUUGUUUUACUCGAAGGAAGAGAGGAAAAAUCACCGUAAACGUCGCUACGAUCAGGUUUCCCCCUCCCCCUCCCCCCCCCCCCCGCCAACCCCUCUCUUCCAUCAAUCCUCUCUUUUUUUUCUCUAGUUAUGUUUUUUCUUUUUGCGAUUCUCUCUGGCAACCAGAAGAUUCAGAAUUUGAGAUCUCCAGAUCAAGAUUCUUCAUCUUGUAAGCUUUCUAUUGAUCUAUUUUUUGCAUAUAUUAGUACUGUUUUGUUCCCAUUUUUUAUUUUUUGGUUUAGGGUUUCUUUCAAGGUUAAUGCGCAAGUUUUGUACUUUAUAUUUGUAGACUGUGAUCAUUUUAUGUAUGGCUUUAUAUGUUUUUAGGUUGUCUUUAGAACAAUUAUAACGUUGUACAUUGAAUUGGGUGUGAAUGUAGGUAAUUGGGAGGAACGUUGAACUUCAGGUAAUCAGUCUCUCAAAUAUUCCGAUGACUAUUGAUUAAUAUGGUUACUUACCUUGCAUAACACUUUGAAUAGAAAGAAGAGUAUUAUAGUUUCUCUAUAUUAACAUGAUAUUUGUCUCCAGUUUGAUUGAAAUUAUGGUAAUUUUUCCCUGUGAAUAGAGAAUACACAAUAGAGAACAGGGCUAGUUGGGAUUACUAUUAUAAAAAUUGGUCAUGACCAUGGUAGGGUAUGUAUAUAUUUCAUACCUUUAGGAUCCCAGCAUGUUCUUAUUUGAUGUUUAGUAUUUGGCCAUUUAUUAUAAAUUCAAUUUGGUGAUGGUUUUUUUCUGUACUUUCUGUUGACACUUUGAAUAAAUACAUAGUAGUGCUAGUGCUAGCUUACAUAUUUAAAACAUUGUUGCAUUUGGCAGAGAGGACAGGGGUCUCCAAAUAUCAAAUUAGUAAAUGUUAAGGUUUCUUUUAUUAAGUCUUAAAUUUUAGGCCUCUUCUGGUCUGUGUAUGUCACUAAGGUAAGAGUUGUCAUGAUGUUAGGCCAAUAUGAAAAGAUUUUAAGUUAUAUGCACUAAUAGUUUUUACACUCCAAUCUUGAUCCUGUUUAACAAGAAGUAAGAGGUAAAGCAGACGAAUUCUUAUUCGCGUACAUCUUUUGAAUUUCCUAUUUUAGCAAUGUUGACUGUCUGUCCAUAGGCAACAGUGGAUACACUUGCUGAGAAGUUAAGAGAGAAGGGAGUUUAUGUUAGUACUGUUAGGAUAAGUAACAUAGGUGUCUGAAAUAAAAUAGUAAUAGUAAUAAGAGUGUUAUAUAGCAGUAUAUGUAGCUUCAAUUAUGAAUCUUCCAAGCUGCUACUAUAAAGGAACUUUCAGUUUUUUGAAGCUCUUUUUGGAAAGGCUCUUUUUGGUAAGAUACACUGAUUCCCUUUGUGUUUUUGAUAAAAUUAGUAGGUGAAACAACUUUGGUAGUAGUAGGGGUUGGAGAAGCUGCAAAUUUGGUGCGAUAAGGGCAGAGACUUUGGCUCCUCAUCUUAAAGUUAUUAUUGAAAAAGCCAAAUUUUUGUCAAAGGUGAUGUCCGCUUUUCUAAGUAGAAACACUAGAAAAUUUCUUCAUUUUCAUUUAAUAAAUGUAUUUAAAUGGUUUGGAUCCGAAUAAAUUUGAAUGAUUUACUUUUGUUUUAUUUUGGUUUUUUUUUUUUGUGGGUUUCUUCUUGUUUGUUCAAUUUUUUGUCUCUAAAUAGUAAUAGAAUUGCUGGGUUAAUGCCUAAUUUAUGGAUAUUCCUAUAUGGUAAAAGGAUUUUGGAUGCCUAAUUACUCUCCAGAUUUUUUAAAUUUGUAAAUAUUCAGUUAUCUAUUCUUUAUUUUAUUAUAAUAUCAAUUGAGUUGUAUUUUCUGUUAGUUGGCUUAUCUAGCGGAUUGAGUUAGGUGUCAUCACGACUUGUGGUUUUUGGAUAGUGACAAAAUCCGGGCAUAUACCCAAGUCUAAAAUCAUCAUCCGACCUAACGGAAUUUUAAAAAUUCUGAUCCAAGGUCAAAUACACAAAAGUCAAACUUGGUCAACUUUUCCAACUUAAAACUUCCUAUUUAAGAAUCAUUCUUCCAAAUCAAGUCCGAACAACUCUAUAACCAAAAACCGACCAUACACGGAGUCUUAAUACACCAUAUGAAGCUACUCUUACAAGUUAUUCUUAUGAUAGAGCUGACAAUUGACGAUUAUGAGAUUACCGUGAUAAAGGGGCGACGUUCGUGCAUGUUCCCAUGUGAUAGGCGUAUAAAAGGCUCUGGAUGAUGAUUUGAAGGGUCCUCGUACCAUAUUCAUGACUCAUGCAAGUUGGACUGGUUGGUGUGAAAACUUCAUAUUCUUGUAUCUUCAUUCUUCACACACAUCCCGUGCUCCUGUACAAUCAAAGUUCCGAACUGGACGUUCUUGGAAACUUUACACAAACAAUGUUAGCUUUCUGCUACAAUUUAACUUGCUCUCGCUGUGUUAAUAAAUUUUAUAGGUAGUUCUCUUUGAGUUGGAAUUUUAUUUACACCAUGCAAGUAUAUGAUAGAUGGAAUGACCCAAAUUUGACGUCACUUUAUUCUAGUAGGUUCUUUUGCUUUGUGGGCUUUAAAAUUUAAAUAGAGAAAGAGAGAGUAAAUGAACAAAGUAGUUACUUUUUUUAUAGACUAAAGAGGUGUCGUAGUUGUAGCUAGCUUUAUCAACAGAAGGAUGACCCACUAAGGUCCAAAAAUGACCAUGACUUAAAUGAGAACAUUAUAAACUUGACUUUAGUAGUAUCCUGUCCCAUCUAUACAUGAAUGUAAGAGCAGUCAGUAGGUAGCAAUGUGAAAGCCAAUUCACAAGGGUCCCUCCC
rnacentral:lncRNA from 1 species